UACGUAGGGUGCAAGCGUUGUCCGGAAUUAUUGGGCGUAAAGAGCGUGUAGGCGGCCCGAUUAGUCCGCUGUGAAAGUCCAGGGCUCAACCCUGGAAUGCCGGUGGAUACUGUCGGGCUAGAGUCCGGAAGGGGCGAGUGGAAUUCCUGGUGUAGCGGUGAAAUGCUGUAGAUAUCGUAAGGAAGACCAGUGGCGAAGGCGGGUCUCUGGACAGUUCCUGACGCUGAGGCACGAAGGUCAGGG
rnacentral:rRNA from 1 species